rnacentral:rRNA from 1 species
UGGGGAAUUUUGGACAAUGGGCGAAAGCCUGAUCCAGCAAUGCCGCGUGUGUGAAGAAGGCCUUCGGGUUGUAAAGCACUUUUGUCCGGAAAGAAAUCCUUGGCUCUAAUACAGUCGGGGGAUGACGGUACCGGAAGAAUAAGCACCGGCUAACUACGUGCCAGCAGCCGCGGUAAUACGUAGGGUGCAAGCGUUAAUCGGAAUUACUGGGCGUAAAGCGUGCGCAGGCGGUUUGCUAAGACCGAUGUGAAAUCCCCGGGCUCAACCUGGGAACUGCAUUGGUGACUGGCAGGCUAGAGUAUGGCAGAGGGGAGUAGAAUUCCACGUGUAGCAGUGAAAUGCGUAGAGAUGUGGAGGAAUACCGAUGGCGAAGGCAGCCCCCUGGGCCAAUACUGACGCUCAUGCACGAAAGCGUGGGGAGCAAACAGGAUUAGAUACCCUGGUAGUCCACGCCCUAAACGAUGUCAACUAGUUGUUGGGGGAUCCAUUUCCUUAGUAACGUAGCUAACGCGUGAAGUUGACCGCCUGGGGAGUACGGUCGCAAGAUUAAAACUCAAAUGAAUUGACGGGGUCAUAGCUGUUUCCU